rnacentral:rRNA from 1 species
CCCUCUAGCGCCGAUGGUACUGCAACACGCGGGAGAGUAGGUCGCCGCCAGUU